GAGUUCCUAAGGGGGUAGUAUUGUGCAAGUGCAAUCACACAAGUGCAGAAAGGGCCAAACUCAACAUCACGAUGGGGUAGGUUAUAUAGUUGCGUACUUGUCGCCUCGGGCAAAAGUGCAACUUAUAUCAAACCAUAAACAAGCAAAACAAGCAACACAUAAUAUGAUUAUAUUCAAACAAUCACACAAACUCGACUUCGCAUAGGGGGUACACGACUCAUCCUACCCUAGGGGUUCACGGACUCUAUAGUCGUGCGUACUUCGUGUGUGGGAGAGAA
rnacentral:lncRNA from 1 species